rnacentral:rRNA from 1 species
AGGGUUUGAUCAUGGCUCAGAACGAACGCUGGCGGCAGGCCUAACACAUGCAAGUCGAGCGCGCCCUUCGGGGUGAGCGGCGGACAGGUUAGUAACGCGUGGGAAUAUGCCCUUUGGUACGGAAUAGCCUCUGGAAACGGAGAGUAAUACCGUAUGAGCCCUUCGGGGGAAAGAUUUAUCGCCAAAGGAUUAGCCCGCGUUAGAUUAGGUAGUUGGUGGGGUAAUGGCCUACCAAGCCUACGAUCUAUAGCUGGUUUUAGAGGAUGAUCAGCAACACUGGGACUGAGACACGGCCCAGACUCCUACGGGAGGCAGCAGUGGGGAAUCUUGGACAAUGGGGGCAACCCUGAUCCAGCCAUGCCGCGUGAGUGAUGAAGGCCUUAGGGUCGUAAAGCUCUUUCGCCUGUGAAGAUAAUGACGGUAGCAGGUAAAGAAACCCCGGCUAACUCCGUGCCAGCCGCCGCGGUAAUAC